rnacentral:rRNA from 1 species
GUACACACCGCCCGUCGCUACUACCGAUUGAAUGGUUUAGUGAGAUCUUCGGAUUGGAGCCCUCGGGAGCAGCGAUACUUCCUUGGGAUUUCGAGAAGUUGCUUGAACUGAAUUAUUUAGAGGAAGUAAAAGUCGUAACAA